rnacentral:rRNA from 1 species
AUUGAACGCUGGCGGCAGGCCUAACACAUGCAAGUCGAACGAGUGGCGGACGGGUGAGUAAUGUCUGGGAAACUGCCUGAUGGAGGGGGAUAACUACUGGAAACGGUAGCUAAUACCGCAUACCAUCGGAUGUGCCCAGAUGGGAUUAGCUAGUAGUUGGGGUAAAGGCUCACCUAGGCGACGAUCCCUAGCUGGUCUGAGAGGAUGACCAGCCACACGGGAACUGAGACACGGUCCAGACUCCUACGGGAGGCAGCAGUGGGGAAUAUUGCAAAAUGGGCGAAAGCCUGAUGCAGCAACGCCGCGUGAAUGAAGAAGGCCUUCGGGUUGUAAAGCACUUUCAUCGGGGAAGCGUUACCCGAAGAAGAAGCACCGGCUAACUCCGUGCCAGCCGCCGCGGUAAUAC